GGGGAUGUAGUUCAGCUGGGAGAACAUCCGGUUUGCAACCGGGAGGUCAGGGGUUCAAAUCCCCUCAUCUCCACCA
rnacentral:tRNA from 1 species